AGAGUUUGAUCCUGGCUCAGAGCGAACGCUGGCGGCGUGCUUAACACAUGCAAGUCGAGUGCGCGGUAGCAAUACUGGCGCACGGCGCACGGGUGCGUAACACGUGGGCAACCUGCCCUUGAGAGGGGGAUAACCCAGCGAAAGUUGGGCUAAUACCGCAUGAUAUUCCGAUGGCUGCGGCUGUUGGAUUCAAAGUCCGC
rnacentral:rRNA from 1 species